rnacentral:ncRNA from 1 species
AUGAUGAAACGUGUUGUCGGUUCGGCCCACCGAGUGCGGGCCGACGAGAAAGGGAACCCGGUGCGAAUCCGGAACUGCCCCCGCAGCGGUAUGCAGGAACGACCGCCGUCAAACGCACUGGCCCCUUCGGGCCGGGAAGCGACGGCCAGUAGGUGUGCGGUUCGCCGCACGCGCCUGCGAGUCCGAAGACCUGCCGACAACCCACGCCAUAU